GACGUGGGAGUCUGAGAACUGCUGUGGAACAUGCGGGCCCAUAGCACUAGGAUGAAAUGAGGAAAAGCACUUAGCUUGGAACCACGACUACAUCCUUCUUGAACUCGCUGACCCGGGGAAGUCACUAAACCUCUCUGGGCUUUGGUUUAAAUCUCUCUAAAAGGAGGAGGUUAGCUCACAAGGAAUGGUUAAGAGGCUUCAUCUCAUCCAAUUCAACUGGAUUCAAGCCUAUUCACAGCCACUGCCUAGGACACCGUGGUAAGGAGGAUUGUGAGGUCACAUUAGGGCUAAGCAGAAAGGACCACAUGAGACUCCAAGGUCUGCCAUGAGCUUGGAAGGAGUCCCACUUCCUGAGGCCACUGUGUUGUCAGGAUGCCCAACUUAGUCCCACUGAGGGGCCAAGUGGAGGAGAAGAGGGAAAGAGAGACAUCAGAUGCGGGGUUCUGUGGGGUUUUUUUGGUAUUUGGAAGAGCAAUUAUUUGUUAUAAGGAACCGGAAGUACAAGAUUUCACCAAAACAGCAACAGUUGACAGACUAUGGCUGAACUUAAAUGAAACUUUCAAGGGAAAUAAGAGUGUGCAACAAAGCCCAUAGGAGUGAAGAAGUGCACUGGUUAGGAACACACGUAAAGAUAGUAGCGUCUAAGUGUGGGUAUCUUCUGACUCCCCCUCUGACUGCAGUCAGAUUGCCAUCACGCUCCCACAACCCUCUCCCUUCUAAAGCUUCUGCAAAACCACACGGCUUCUCUGUACUGCAGAUGCAAGCCAACCCAAGAGCACCCCUUUAGGCAUGCUGUAUAGAGCCAAGAGGAGAGUUCAUAAAUCUCAUAGCCAACCAA